rnacentral:lncRNA from 1 species
AUGAGGGUAGGGCUGAUAGACUGUGAAGAGGAGGAAAAGGAAUUCGGGGUGAGGGAAAUACAAGACCUAGCCCGUAGCUCUGCCAGCAGGAGAGCAGUUGGGAGAGCAGGAGCCUCUCUACACAGAAGGGCUGAACAGCUCAUUCACAUCUCAACCUUUCUGUGUGGGGAGAAUGAGGUGCAUCUCUCUUCAGUUCAAAUCCAAGUUCUAAGUUCUACCUUCUGGGUUCCUGUUCCAUUAUGUUUCCCUCCCGCAGAUUCUUCUCAGCUGUGGACAUCCUGCCAACUUAGCUAAUUUGAGGGCUUUCCCUUUUGCUUCUUGAGGCAGUUCUAGGCUUUUUUCCAGCAGGAGGGUCUUGGCUCAGACUGUCCAGCAAGUGGGUGGCCCAGUGGAGUACAGGGAAUUCCUGAGAGCCUGGCCUGGCCUAACCUCCUCCCAGACCACCUUUAAUCACUGGACACACUACCUUUUGUGCAACUUAAGCUAAACUGAGGGUUUCCAGGGUGAUGAUUAUGAACUGGUGACCUUGAGAUGGGGAAUCUUAGGAGGAACCUAGGCAGCAUAUUAAAAUGCAGAGACAUUACUUUACUAACAGAAGUCUGUCUAGUCAAGGCUAUGGUUUUUCCAGUAGUCAUGUAUG